rnacentral:tRNA from 1 species
GGGGGUAUAGCUCAGUGGUAGAGCAUUUGACUGCAGAUCAAGAGGUCCCUAGUUCAACACUGGGUGCUCCCU